AUGGAUAGUCAUGAAUAUAGUGAGCUGGAGAGGGCGUCAGGUGACAAAAGCAUGGGUCCAAUCGUCAUUCCUUACUCGGUUUUCAAGGCCAUCACAAACAAUUUCUCUGCUGAUCAACUAAUCGGCAGUGGUGGGUUUGGAGUGGUUUACAAGGGUACGCUUCGAAAUGGUAUGAUGGUUGCUGUGAAGAAACUUCGUAAUGAACAGUUGGAGGUUCUCUCACAAAAUUUCGACAGUGAGGCCGAUUGUCUCAAAAAGGUCAAGCACAAAAAUAUAGUACGGUUUCUAGGACACUGCUCUAACACGCAAAUGGUGCCGAUGCUAUAUGAAGGAAAAGAAGUCUUGGGAGUAGAACGAGAAAAGUUAUUAUGCUUUGAGUACCUAAGUAAAGGGACCCUCGACAAGUAUUUCAAAGAAUGCGAACCUGAGUGGUCUACGCGAUAUCAAAUAAUCAGGGGGAUAUGCGAGGGCCUGCACUAUCUUCACCGCCACCAGCAGCGCAUUAUUCAUAUGGACCUCAAACCUUAG
rnacentral:rRNA from 1 species